GCUCUAUAGUGCCAUCAACCUCCGCCCAUAAAUUCUGCCACUUCCUCUUCACGUUUAAUUGCCUACAGACUCAAACAGACGGCACGUCUACCGACACCGAAGGCUGUGGGAAGAAGAAGACUUUCCAUUAAGGGUUCUCUAAGGAAAUGACUGGCUGGCAAAGUGAAGAGCUUGCUGGGAAUGAUUAUCCUCGUUGACUAUAAUGAAACAAGCGGCGCUGGACGUGUAUUCAGUACUACUUGCAGACAGAUGUGUUGAAGACCGUUCAUCAGAAGAAACGUUUAUCUCAUCCACUGAUGUCCAACUUCGUGAUCAAAACAAACGCACGUCGGACUGCGUCAACCCGACAAGGAUGGUCUGCGAUCUCUUUCUUGGAACUGCAAGGAUAUGAACUGACACCGGGGCUGGACUGACUUUUGUGCUGUGCUCUGCACAACACAACUUAAAAACCAUACUCAAACUCUCAUACACACAUGCACAGUGAUACAAGGGCGGAAAACAACGUGCCUACUAGUGAUGGCGUAGCCAGAAGAAACAACAUGUCCUUCCAGCACAGAUGGCAAAUUUCAUUGGGGAUCUUGCUUGUGAUGGCAGGCCUGGCUCUCUUUAUGACUAUGGAUAUGUACAUUGUUCUCAUUGGCAUGGCUAUAGUGUGUCUGGGCCUGUUUAUUCUCAUCCGUGCCUUCUGCAUGGUCAUUAAAUCCAGUCAUGUAGCUGUGACGGGUCACUUCCUUCUACACCCGCGAACAGGCACCCGUUACACCCACCAUCAAGCCAUUGCGCUGCAAAGGAGGCUGGAUCGGAUCCGGAGGGCUACGGCAGAGGAGCAGAGUCCAGUCCAAGUGCCUCCCACCUCAGACACCAGUCCACAGAGCCAACCUGCAACCCCUCCCCCCUGGCAAAUGGAGCCGCCGCCAUCCUAUGAGACUGUUAUGAAGACCACUACAGCUGUAAACCAAGUAUAACCACUGCUUUGACUGUAGACACCGACA
rnacentral:lncRNA from 1 species